AUAGUGAUUGCCUACGCCUUGCAGGUGCCCCACUGCAAAGCAGAGACCUUUAUUUUAUUAUUAUCACACACUUGUAUAAAUAACUGGAACUUCUCAGCUUGAUUCAUCACUGAUCAGCGUCCUUUCUGCAGCAGCCUCGAGUUAUCAGAGGGAGCUUCAACCAUGAGAUUCCUCUCCCUUUUUCUUCUUCCUUUGCUGUUGCUGGCCCUGGCCAGCCAGGCUGAACAAGCGGGCAAGGCUUGUGAGAGGAUGAGAGGCUUUUGCGUCCAUAAGAGUUCACACUGCCCCAGCAACAAAGUACUUCCGUUUGAAUGUGGCGAGAAGAGAAAGUGCUGCAAAAAGUUAGACUCAGAUGCGUAACCGUGGAUAAGAGAAACCAAACUUCACACGGGGGGAAACAAAGAGUGCUUGUUAUAUGCUAAGGCAGAAAUUGUUAAAAGCAUUGCAUUCCACUCAUUAAAUGCCUGUCAGAAAUAA